UGAUUCCAUUCCUUGCCCACA
rnacentral:piRNA from 1 species